rnacentral:lncRNA from 1 species
ACUAGGGUCUAGGGCUUUUCUUUCAUUGCCGUCUUCCCGUCAGCCUCCACUCCACACGACCACUCCAGGUGCUUCCCGUCUGCCGUGCCUCCCUCCGGCCACCGGCGCCGACCACCAGCUAGCGCCGCCGUCUGAAAUACUCACGACCACUCCAGGUGCUUCUCGGAUUUCAAGUUUUCAGAGUUUUCAACUCUGAAAUACUCUUCCCACCGACCACCAGCUAGCGCCGCCGUCUGCUACGAACCAGCGCCACCGUUUGGAACUAACCGGCGCCGCCGCUGCCCCCUAAGACAGCAGGUUAGUAUUUCCUUCUCACUCUCAAACUUGAUAGAUUAGAUAAUAAUGGUGGAUGGGUGUAUUUGUGAUACAUUCUGAUUUCUGAAAUGGAUUUAUGUAAUUAUGCCCCACCCCUAGCUAGUAAGCUCCGCCCCUGUUUGUGUAAGAACUUGUUGAUGGCAUUGUGUGUUGCUUUUCAAAAAAAUUGAAUCUUUUCAAAUUGUUCCAUUAAAAUCAUGAUGACAGAAUUGCUUUUGAAGUAUCAUGAGGUUUCAGAACAAGAUGUCUUGAUUCGAAAAUCAUUUGUUUUAACUUCAGAUUAAGAUUAAAUCAUAGCUGAAGUUUUAUCUGCUAGAUGCAUAUUUACUCCUUGCCAUAGUCUAAGUGUGGACUGAACAGAUGAAUUGGAGUGCAUGUUGAACUACUACAUUAGGAUUAGUAAAUUUCUACUAUAUAAAUCACAUGAAUUUUGUUUACUUUAAUUGUUGCCUAGGUUGGAAAUUCAUAAUUAUUAGAGUUGUUCUGUUUUUUUUUUUUUUAAAUUACAAUUCUCUAUAAAACAUUUUUUUGUUCCAAAUAAUUAUAGGUUAUGAGUUGGUGUACUGGAUAGGACUCCAUCCUUUCUUCUAAAGGUGAGUUCAAAUCCCACAUCCUACAAAAUUCAAUUUUUUUAAAAUUUCAUAAAAUACAAGUUAACCGGUCCAUUAACCGGUUCGGUUACCGGUUAGGAGAUUGCUCCUUAUCCGGUUCCGGUUAACCGGUAAACCGGUUCAAUUAAAAUCGAACCGUUUAACCGAACCGGACCGAUUACCAGCCCUAAAAAAUACACAUAAUUUGUCACUUUUCUGAUUUAUAAUAUAUUAAUAUGACCUUUUAAUUUGAUCAGAAAAUACACUACUUUUUAAUUUGAUUGUAAUUGUUAUAAAUCAAAAAAUUGGCAAACUAUGUGUAUUUUUUGGCAAUAGCCCCAUCAUUUUUUUUUUCCCGAUUAAAAUAUGUUGACCCUAAAUAUUUCGACACACUAGGUUUCAGGCUAGCCUGUCGAACCUGCAAAUUUACGAUUUUUUUACAUGUAUGAUUUUUUAUUGAUAAUCAUAUAAUUGUAAGAAAAAAUAGGCCUUGUUUUUUUUAGUCAAGACACUUCAACUCGUUUUAGAAUUUGAUAUUUUGGGCUAAUCAGUUUGUUUUAUUUUUCGAAAUAAAAUAUGUUGACUCUAAAUAUUUCGACCCACUAGGUUUCAGGCUAACCCAUCGGACCCGCAAAUUUAUGAUUUCUUUACAUGUAUGACUUUUUUUAGGGUAAAUAUCACUUUCUGUCCCAUCGUUUGUUCGAAUUAUUGAUUAUGUUUCAACUUUUCGAUAAUAUCUAAUUGGUACCCAACCUACCAACAUUUUUUUAAUUGUGUCCCUUAAAAAUUUUCCGACGCUCGGAAAUUGACGUGGAACGCUGGAAAUUUAUUACGUGGAAUUAUUAAUCCACUUGGAAUUGCCAACAUUAUUAUAGUACUUUAUUAUACUUAAAAAAAGAGUAAAAUAAUACAUCCCCUAAACUAAACGUCGUCGUAUCCAAUUCAUCAAAAUCCCAAAUCAAAGAACAUAUCCAGAAUUGCAGAUAACUUAAUAGUAAAUGCUCUUGAACAGUUCAAAUUCGAUUUGAGGCAUAAGCAAAUGGGCGGUUCGAAGAAGAAGAAGAAGCGGAGCGGUGGCAGAGGCCACCGCGCCCAGUCAAAGGACCAUCACUCGACUGACGCCGAUAAUUCUAAAAUUUUAACCAAGGAAGUAACUGCGUUGUGAGUUUUUUCUUAUUUUUGAAUUUUUAACGAACACAUUUUAUAUUAUUGUUGUUUUAAUCAUUCUAGUGAACUACUAUGUGUAGAUAUUUUGUUCAGUGAAUGUACGGUCAAUAGUUUGAGCUCCUGAAUCACCUCCUCGUAUCAACAUCAAGCUCAGGUUCCAGAUUUGUGAUAAUUCAUGGACAUUAAACCUUAGGCUUCAUGUACUUGGUGCAGAUGCUUACCAGGUUAUCCAUAUAAAUGCCCGAAGCUGCAGAUAAUACCAGAGAAAAAGCUUAUAAAAAACUAAUGCUGAUAAUCUUUUAUCUUUACUUUAUGAUCAUGUAGGACCUUAGUGAUAGCCAGAGGAGGAGGACGAUUACUAGAUAUGUUCUUUAAUUUGGGAUUUUGAUGAAUUGGAUACGACAGCGUUUAGUUCAGGGGAUGUAUUAUUUUACUCUCUUUUUUUAAGUAUAAUAAAGUAUAAUAAUACUGACAAUUUCAGGUGGAUUAAUAAGUCCAUGUAAUCAAACUCUUCGGGCGCCGAAAAUGUUUUAAGGGACACAAUUAAAAAAAUGUUGGUAGGUUGGGUACCAAUUAGAUAUUAUCGAAAAAUUGGGAUAUAAUCGAUAAUUCGGCCAAACGAUGGGACAGAAAGUGACAUUUACCCUUUUUUUUUUUAAUUGAUAAUCAUAUUAUUGUAAAAAAAAAGGCCUUGUUUUUUCAAUCAAGACACGACUUGUUUUAAAAUUGAAUAUACAUUUACAUAAUAACAUAAAUGACUAUUUUUCUAUGAUUUUUAUGUCAUAAAUAUUUAUUAUUAAUCAUUGGAGAAAUCCAAAAUAUAUUCCACAACAUCGAAAUCUUAUCGAACUAGAAAGUAAGUAAUAAAAUUUGAAAAUCAAUUAUAAAGAAAAAGUUCGGUUAAUCGGGACAACCCAUUUAAUUUUCGGGCUCGAACUAUUUUAUGUUCGUGUCAUUUGGACUGAAUUUUUUUUAGGCUAAAAUUUUUCAGUUUAAUCCUUUUUUUCCGAUCUUUUUGGGUCAGUUUCAUGUUGUUGUUGUUGUUGUUGUUUUUUUUUUUUUUUUUUUUGUAAUCAAAGUUUCAGGCUUUUAUUGAUAUCUCUAUAACCAUAAUAGUUGAAGCUUAUUAUUUGACGAAGUAAAAGGACGUUACGGACUGAAGUCUACACCCCUUGGAUUUCUCCCUAGGGUCGGAGCCGAGGCAACCAUUAUUUAGUAAGCUCCAUACUCACCUCUUUUCUGGUAAAUCAGUUAGUUGAAGUAUUUUGCCGCUGCUCUCUCUUGCAGUGUUUUGAUGGUGGUUUUACAUCUUCAGAUCGGAAACGACAGUCGCCUCCGGAAAUCGGGUGUGCUAAUAUAGUUGAUAACUGUAAGUAUGAUUAGAGCUUUCAACCACCAUUUUAUGUCUAAUUAUUGGUCUUGAUGUUUUGAGAUAAAUGUGAUUUUUGUGAUUGCUUUGAAACAAUUUUCUUGGUAGAUUGUGAUAAAUGAUUGUUUUACAAAUGAAUUUCUGCCGCUUGUGGGGAUAUUCUUGAAUUAUUGAUCUAAUCAGUUGUUCGAUUAUUUGAAGCUGGAUUGAGCUGCUUCAUUUGCAUUCUUUUUCAGCGUGUGUGUUGUAGGAAGAUAGAUCAAGACUUAGAUUUCGAGUUGAAGGAACUUUAUGAAUGAUACCAUUAAUCAAGAUAGAAAUAGUGCAUAAUUCUAAUUAGCCUAGAACACUUACCAGUUACCAUCUAUUUUUAGGAAACGAUUGAAGUAAACUUGGUCAGGUUAGAAAUCAUUUCUUUUGGGAGAUAGUCAGUGUAUCUAUCUUCUUGCAAUAGUGCGUUUGCAUUAAUUUGUGCACAUUGCCACACAACUAUCUAGCUUCCACAUCACUCAUUGUUAUUGUCGCAAAGCUGGAGUUUUCACUUCGUGAUGCACUCCUCAAGAAACUGGAUCUGCUUUGCAGGAAGAAUCCAGGUUUCUUGGGUUGAGGCAACACGAUAUCCUCACUACUUAACAUCAGAACCACAGACGGCAUCAUUGGCCUCUCGUCUGCUGCAUUCUGGGCACAUAAUAACCCUAUUUGGAUGCACCUCUUUACUUGGGGUUCCACGCACGAAUUUUUGUAGCUUGGAUCGAUCAUCUCCAACUCUCUAUUUUCCUGCCAAAGUAGCCAUGCCUGCGACAAAUAUAUACAUUUUAUUUUGUAUUAAGUGGAUGCAAACAUAACAAGGUUUUCAAAGGGAAACACACUCUUUAUUUUGUGAGUUUGUGUCUUUGGCACUAAAGAGCAACAUAAUAUAUUAGUUCACCUGUUCGAGAAGGUUCUGAUAGCAACAAGGAUGCUUGAAGCCUCUAUUCCUUUUCCCACUCACAAUCUCCAAUAUUACUACUCCGAAGCUAAAUAUGUCCGACUUGAAAGAGAACUUUCCAUCAAAUGCAUACUCCGGAGCCAUGUAGCCGCUGUUAAGAGAUCUUAUGCAUUAUGUUCUAUGAAAAGAUUAUGUAUACAUGACUACUUUUGUGUUUGUGUGUGUGUGUGUGUGACACACUUACUAUGUCCCAACAACUCGUUUUGUUCUUGCUGUAGUCUGAUCGCCUUCAAUCAUUCUAGCUAGUCCAAAAUCUGAGAUCUUCGCAUUUAAAUUCUCAUCUAAUAAGAUAUUGCUUGUUUUUAGGUCCCUGUGGAUGAUUUUUACUCUGGAAUCGUUAUGGAGGUAAACCAUACCCCUUGCAAUCCCCAUGAUGAUAUCGAAGCGCUUUGGCCAAGUCAAUAGUGGCCUUCUUUCUUGAUCUGCAUGUGUUGAAACAUGAAGAGUAUUACUAAG